UCCCCAGCCCACCAUCCCCAUCGUGGGCAUCGUUGCUGGCCUUGUUGUCCUUGGAGCUGUGGUCACUGGAGCUGUGGUCGCUGCUGUGAUGUGGAGGAAGAAGAGCUCAGGCCCAGCUCCUGAGUGUCUCUACCUCUCAAACAAGUAUUCUCAUCCAGGAGCAAUUUUCCCACCAGAGGACAUUAGCUAUGUCUGGAAAAAUGUUUUGUUGCCAUGACUGGAGUGAGGAGGAGGUGCUACCAGCAUCUUGUGGGGAAUGACCAGGGAUGCUGAACAUCCUGCAGUGCACAAGUCAGCCCAAUCACCCACAUAACAGAUAAUUAUCCAGCCCCAAUACCAAGAUUGCCAAGGGUAGGAGGCCUGCCAGGACUUUCUCUCCCUUGAGUACAAGCUUCCUUGAACUGAGGGACACCCUGAAGGAAAAGUGUGGUCCCACCCCAGUCAUCUCUCCCUUCCCUGGAGCUCCAUCUGUAUGCCUGUAGUGCUUAGGCCCUUAACCUGGGGUCCAGGAACCCACCUUCCCAUGAGACUGCAUGCAGAAGUGAUGAUAUGUGCACACAUGACUUCAUUACAGGGCAUUGGAUAUUGAUAUUCAUCAGGUCAGCUGGGGCCCAAGACACCACUCUUCUGCCAACAGGCCGCAAUCCUCUGCAUUAGAGAGAGGGUAAAGAUUGAGGGAGGCCCUAACUUCAAACCUUCUAUCACUGCUAGUGAAGUGCCAAAAAGAAGUGCAAGGUCAUCUGCCCUUGUAGGAACCACACAGGAAGGCAGAGUGUCCACCAAUGUCAAAUUCCAUCAAAGAAAUAAUAUUUUGACAAAAAAUGCAAGUCACCUUUCUAAGUCCCAGACAGCAGCUCAAAAUAAAAAGCAUUAAACCCCUCAAAUCUUAGACCAGGUGAAAUUAUUGAAGCUGCAGUAAGGUCUUGUGGGACCUGCAGUUAGAGAGAAGGGACAACUCAAUUUGGGACUGCAGCAGAAACCCCUACAUCAUGGGGUUCCUGGAAGGGACCCUCUCCCUUCAGCGACGCACUGUGAGGCCAUUUCUAGGUAAAAAGGUAGAAUUUCCUUGGAUUCCUGAGGUUUAUUUUACACUUACUGCUUAUUCUUUGACUUUAUAGAAGCCAACUUCAGUUUGAACAUCUUGCAAUUAAUUUUUUUUGGCUCUAAGUGGAGAAUUUGAACUUGUUUCUGAAGAAAACCAGGGGCUCCUUAUGUGAGCAAGCACCCCUCCCUGUGGCCCCCUUAUGCAAUAAACAUAAGCCAUUGUGAGCCAGCAAAAUUUAAAGCAAGGAAAGCAGUAAACCCUCCAUUUCAGCAUGUUUCAGCCUGUCUAGUGAUGUUCUAGUCUUGCCUCACUCUUAACAUUUUAAAAUUUAUAAUUUUAUUUGAUUUUGAUUUAAUAAGAAUUCAUAUGUAUUCAUUUCUUUUGGGUUUGUCACCAAAAGCCUCCUCCAAUCACCUGUGGAGUAAAGACAAGUAAAUAAAUGCAUGGUGUUCCCAUUUA
rnacentral:sRNA from 1 species